rnacentral:rRNA from 1 species
ACGGCGAGUGAAGCGGCAACAGCUCAAAUUUGAAAUCUGGCCCCAGGCCCGAGUUGUAAUUUGCAGAGGAUGCUUUUGGCGCGGUGCCUUCCGAGUUCCCUGGAACGGGACGCCAUAGAGGGUGAGAGCCCCGUACGGUUGGACACCAAGUCUUUGUAAAGCUCCUUCGACGAGUCGAGUAGUUUGGGAAUGCUGCUCAAAAUGGGAGGUAUAUUUCUUCUAAAGCUAAAUAUUGGCCAGAGACCGAUAGCGCACAAGUAGAGUGAUCGAAAGAUGAAAAGCACUUUGAAAAGAGGGUUAAACAGCACGUGAAAUUGUUAAAAGGGAAGCGCUUAUGACCAGACUUGCGCCCGGUGAAUCACCCAGCUCUCGCGGCUGGGGCACUUUGCCGGCUCAGGCCAGCAUCAGCUCGCUGUCGGGGACAAAAGCUUCGGGAACGUAGCUCUCUUCGGGGAGUGUUAUAGCCCGUUGCACAAUACCCUUCGGCGGGCUGAGGUACGCGCUCCGCAAGGAUGCUGGCGUAAUGGUCAUCAGCGACCCGUCUUGAAACACGGACCAAGGAGUCAACCUUAUGUGCGAGUGUUUGGGUGUUAAACCCCUACGCGUAAUGAAAGUGAACGCAGGUGAGAGCUUCGGCGCAUCAUCGACCGAUCCUGAUGUUCUCGGAUGGAUUUGAGUAAGAGCAUAUAGGGUUGGACCCGAAAGAAGGUGAACUAUGCGUGUAUAGGGUGAAGCCAGAGGAAACUCUGGUGGAGGCUCGCAGCGGUUCUGACGUGCAAAUCGAUCGUCAAAUAUGCGCAUGGGGGCGAAAGACUAAUCGAACCUUCUAGUAGCUGGUU